GUGUAUGCUCUCACUGUGAUAGCCAGCACCCCACUGAACCCAGGAUGAGCUGGCCAGUGAGGCCGGUCAGUGUCCCCCUCCUCCCUCACCACUCCCUGAGUGCUCACUGAAGAAGACAGCCUUUCUCCACAAAAGAUUAUUCUUCAGUCAAGAGUAUAUAAGUGUCCACACACCUCUGCUUGGACCUCAGAGCAAGCUCCCAAAAGUUCACAUGCGAGGAUCAGUAGCAUUUCCAUUCAUUAAGAGUGACUAACAGCCCAAAGU
rnacentral:sRNA from 1 species